rnacentral:tRNA from 1 species
GAGGUUAUAGCUCAAGUGGUAGAGUGCAUGCUUAGCGUACACGAGGUCCUGGGUUCAAUCCCCAGUACCUCCU